GGUCCUACGGGAGGCUGCAGUGGGGAAUAUUGCACAAUGGGCGCAAGCCUGAUGCAGCGACGCCGCGUGGGGGAUGACGGCCUUCGGGUUGUAAACUCCUUUCGCCAGGGACGAAGCGCAAGUGACGGUACCUGGAGAAGAAGCACCGGCCAACUACGUGCCAGCAGCCGCGGUAAUACGUAGGGUGCGAGCGUUGUCCGGAAUUACUGGGCGUAAAGAGCUCGUAGGCGGUUUGUCGCGUCGUCUGUGAAAUCCUGCAACUCAAUUGUAGGAGUGCAGGCGAUACGGGCAGACUUGAGUACUACAGGGGAGACUGGAAUUCCUGGUGUAGCGGUGAAAUGCGCAGAUAUCAGGAGGAACACCGGUGGCGAAGGCGGGUCUCUGGGUAGUAACUGACGCUGAGGAGCGAAAGCGUGGGGAGCAAACAGGAUUAGAUACCCCAGUAGUCACA
rnacentral:rRNA from 1 species